rnacentral:misc_RNA from 1 species
AACUUUCGGCAAUGGAUCUCUUGGUUCCGGUAUCGAUGAAGAACGCAGCGAAAUGCGAUAAAUAAUGUGAAUUGCAGAAUUCAGUGAAUCAUCUAGUCUUUGAACGCACAUUGCGCCCCCUGGUAUUCCGGGGGGCAUGCCUGUCCGAGCGUCAUUGCUGCCCUCAAGCCCGGCUUGUGUGUUGGGUCCUCGUCCUUAGGGACAGGCCCGAAAGGCAAUGGCAGUACCGCGUCCGGUCCUCGAGCGUAUGGGGCUUUGUCACCCGCUCUGUAGGCCCGGCCGGCGCUCCGCCCACCAACCAAAAAACUAUUUUUCAGGUUGACCUCGGAUCAGGUAGGGAUACCCGCUGAACUUAAGCAUAUCAAUAAGCGGAGGCU